rnacentral:rRNA from 1 species
UACGUAGGUGGCAAGCGUUGUCCGGAUUUAUUGGGCUUAAAGGGCGCGUAGGCGGUCCUAUAAGUCAGUGGUGAAAUACGGCAGCUCAACUGUCGAGGUGCCAUUGAUACUGCAGGACUAGAGUACUGAUGAGGUAGGCGGAAUGGACGGUGUAGCGGUGAAAUGCUUAGAUAUCGUCCAGAACACCGAUAGCGAAGGCAGCUUACUAAGGAGUAACUGACGCUGAGGCGCGAAAGUGUGGGGAUCAAACAGG